GUCUACGGCCAUACCACCCUGAACGCACCCGAUCUCGUCUGAUCUCGGAAGCUAAGCAGGGUCGAGCCUGGUUAGUACUUGGAUGGGAGAAUCACACAGAAGCCCACCCUGCCUUCCUGUGAGCA
rnacentral:rRNA from 1 species